UCAGUUGUCUUAUAAUUGAAGACUGGAAUGAAUGGUUAAACGAAAUUAAAGCUGUUUCAUUUGUAUUUAUUAGAAAUUAGCUUUUAAAUGAAGAGAUUUAAAUUUGAUUAAGGGACAAGAAGACCCUAUUGAGCUUUAAAUAAUUUAAAGGGUUAAAGUUAUUAUAAAGAUCUAUGGUCUUUAGUAUUUUUUAGUUGGGGCGACUAAGGAACAGAUGAAGCUUCCUUUAUUUAUUUGAUUGAUAGAUUUUGAUCCAGGGUUGCUGAUUAAGGGAGAUAGUUACCAUAGGGAUAACAGCAUAAUCUUCUUGGAGAGUUCUUAUUAAAAAGGGGGGUUGUGACCUCGAUGUUGGACUAAAAUAUCCUAAUGGUGUA
rnacentral:rRNA from 1 species